CUAGCGACUUCAGAGUUUGAUCCUGGCUCAGGAUGAACGCUAGCGGCAGGCUUAACACAUGCAAGUCGAGGGGCAGCAUGAUUGAACUUUCGGGUUCGAUUGAUGGCGACCGGCGCAAGGGUGCGUAACGCGUGAGCAACUUGCCCGUUUCAGGGGGAUAACCGGUGGAAACGCCGACUAAUACCCCAUAGCAUCAUAUUGAGGCAUCUUUAUAUGAUUAAAGAAUUUCGGAAACGGAUAGGCUCGCGUGACAUUAGCUAGAUGGCGGGGUAACGGCCCACCAUGGCGACGAUGUCUAGGGGUUCUGAGAGGAAGGUCCCCCACACUGGAACUGAGACACGGUCCAG
rnacentral:rRNA from 1 species